AGUCGAGUGCGCGUCCCGGUGGCAACACCGGGAUGGCGCACGGCGCACGGGUGCGUAACACGUGGGCAAUCUGCCCUCGGAUGGGGGAUAACCCCGCGAAAGCGGGGCUAAUACCGCAUGACAUUCCGAAGACUCCGGUCUUUGGACUCAAAGGCCGCAAGGCCGUCUGAGGAGGAGCCCGCGCCCGAUUAGCUAGUUGGUGAGGUAACGGCUCACCAAGGCUUUGAUCGGUAGCCGGUCUGAGAGGAUGGCCGGCCACACUGGAACUGAGACACGGUCCAGACUCCUACGGGAGGCAGCAGUGGGGAAUAUUGCGCAAUGGGCGAAAGCCUGACGCAGCGACGCCGCGUGGGGGAUGAAGCUUCUCGGAGUGUAAACCCCUUUCGACCCGGACGAAUGACCCGCAAGGGUUUGACGGUACGGGUAUAAGAAGCCCCGGCUAACUACGUGCCAGCAGCCGCGGUAAUACGUAGGGGGCCAGCGUUGCUCGGAAUUACUGGGCGUAAAGGGUUCGUAGGCGGUGCGGCAAGUUGGGAGUGAAAUCUCUGGGCUUAACCCAGAGGCUGCUUUCAAAACCGCCGUGCUCGAGUGCGGGAGAGGCCAGUGGAAUUGCAGGUGUAGCGGUGAAAUGCGUAGAUAUCUGCAGGAACACCCGUGGCGAAGGCGGCUGGCUGGACCGCAACUGACGCUGAGGAACGAAAGCUAGGGGAGCAAACAGGAUUAGAUACCCUGGUAGUCCUAGCCCUAAACCAUCAGGACUUGGGGUGGCCCGCGUAGGCGGGUCGUCCCGUAGCUACGCGUUAAGUCCUGCGCCUGGGGAGUACGGUCGCAAGACUGAAACUCAAAGG
rnacentral:rRNA from 1 species